rnacentral:tRNA from 1 species
GGUGGCUCAGUGGUAGAGCGCUUACCUCGCAUGCAUGAGGCCCUGGGUUCCAUUCUCAGCACCA